rnacentral:tRNA from 1 species
GCCUGGGUGGCUCAGUCGGUUAAGCGUCUGACUUCGGCUCAGGUCAUGAUAUCGCGGUCCGUGAGUUCGAGCCCCGCGUCGGGCU